rnacentral:rRNA from 1 species
GACGAACGCUGGCGGCGUGCUUAACACAUGCAAGUCGAACGGAAAGGCCCUGCUUUUGUGGGGUGCUCGAGUGGCGAACGGGUGAGUAACACGUGAGUAACCUGCCCUUGACUUUGGGAUAACUUCAGGAAACUGGGGCUAAUACCGGAUAGGAGCUCCUGCUGCAUGGUGGGGGUUGGAAAGUUUCGGCGGUUGGGGAUGGACUCGCGGCUUAUCCGCUUGUUGGUGGGGUAGUGGCUUACCAAGGCUUUGACGGGUAGCCGGCCUGAGAGGGUGACCGGCCACAUUGGGACUAAGGUACGGCCCAGACUCCUACGGGAGGCAGCAGUGGAGAAUAUUGCACAAUGGGCGGAAGCCUGAUGCAGCAACGCCGCGUGCGGGAUGACGGCCUUCGGGUUGUAAACCGCUUUCGCCUGUGACGAAGCGUGAGUGACGGUAAUGGGUAAAGAAGCACCGGCUAACUACGUG